GUAAUGUCAUCUAAAUUAAUCGAGAGUCGCCGAUGUUUUGGGCGAUGUCCGGGCCAAAUUUGUAACGGUGGAUCACAUUUCAUCGCGUAUGUAAGAAGGAGACACCGGAGAAGAGACCGUCGUUGUAUCAGACGGACGGGUUGUUAGCCGAAAUCCACAUGCACGUGAACAGCUAUGAUAGCGGGCGUUUUGAAGCAUUGCAAUUGGGAAUAUUCCUGCAAUGUCUUUGUAACGGUGGAUUGGAUAUCCACGAUGUUUUCCCUUUCAAAGCGACGCCAAUGGAUACUCAGAAACAGCUCUUUCACUGAUGAUCAUGACGGUGACAUCUCAAAUUUGGUACAAAAUUUCUCCUUGUUUAAAUUGGCUCCUACUGAUUCUAGGUAAUAUGGGUAUCAAAGACCUGAUGAUCAAAUUUGAAUUUGCAAAAAAAAUGAGAAUUUAGAACCAGUGGCGGCGCCACGGGGGAGGCAGACCCCCCC